rnacentral:misc_RNA from 1 species
AGCAGCCGCGGUAAUUCCAGCUCCAAUAGCGUAUAUUAAAGUUGCUGCAGUUAAAAAGCUCGUAGUUGAAUUUCGGGAUCAAUAUGUUGGUCGUGCCUCGGUACGUACUAGCUUAUUGGUUUCUCCCUUCUGACGAACCAUGAUGUCAUUUAUUUGGUGUUAUGGGAAAUCAGGACUGUUACUUUGAAAAAUUAGAGUGUUUAAAGCAGGCUCACGCUUGAAUACAUUAGCAUGGAAUAAUGAAAUAGGACGUUUGAUUCUAUUUUGUUGGUUUCUAGGAUCGACGUAAUGAUUAAUAGGGAUAGUUGGGGGCAUUAGUAUUCAAUUGUCAGAGGUGAAAUUCUUGGAUUUAUUGAAGACUAACUACUGCGAAAGCAUUUGCCAAGGAUGUUUUCAUUAAUCAAGAACGAAAGUUAGGGGAUCGAAGACGAUCAGAUACCGUCGUAGUCUUAACCAUAAACUAUGCCGACUAGGGAUCGGAUGAUGUUAAUUUUUAAUGACUCAUUCGGCGCCUUAAC